CAUAGGUUAAUGAGGCGAACCGGGGGAACUGAAACAUCUAAGUACCCCGAGGAAAAGAAAUCAACCGAGAUUCCCCCAGUAGCGGCGAGCGAACGGGGAGCAGCCCAGAGCCUGAAUCAGUGUGUGUGUUAGUGGAAGCGUCUGGAAAGGCGCGCGAUACAGGGUGACAGCCCCGUACACAAAAAUGCACAUGCUGUGAGCUCGAUGAGUAGGGCGGGACACGUGGUAUCCUGUCUGAAUAUGGGGGGACCAUCCUCCAAGGCUAAAUACUCCUGACUGACCGAUAGUGAACCAGUACCGUGAGGGAAAGGCGAAAAGAACCCCGGCGAGGGGAGUGAAAAAGAACCUGAAACCGUGUACGUACAAGCAGUGGGAGCACAGAGCAAUCUGUGUGACUGCGUACCUUUUGUAUAAUGGGUCAGCGACUUAUAUUCUGUAGCAAGGUUAACCGAAUAGGGGAGCCGAAGGGAAACCGAGUCUUAACUGGGCGUUAAGUUGCAGGGUAUAGACCCGAAACCCGGUGAUCUAGCCAUGGGCAGGUUGAAGGUUGGGUAACACUAACUGGAGGACCGAACCGACUAAUGUUGAAAAAUUAGCGGAUGACUUGUGGCUGGGGGUGAAAGGCCAAUCAAACCGGGAGAUAGCUGGUUCUCCCCGAAAGCUAUUUAGGUAGCGCCUCGUGAAUUCAUCUCCGGGGGUAGAGCACUGUUUCGGCAAGGGGGUCAUCCCGACUUACCAACCCGAUGCAAACUGCGAAUACCGGAGAAUGUUAUCACGGGAGACACACGGCGGGUGCUAACGUCCGUCGUGAAGAGGGAAACAACCCAGACCGCCAGCUAAGGUCCCAAAGUCAUGGUUAAGUGGGAAACGAUGUGGGAAGGCCCAGACAGCCAGGAUGUUGGCUUAGAAGCAGCCAUCAUUUAAAGAAAGCGUAAUAGCUCACUGGUCGAGUCGGCCUGCGCGGAAGAUGUAACGGGGCUAAACCAUGCACCGAAGCUGCGGCAGCGACACUAUGUGUUGUUGGGUAGGGGAGCGUUCUGUAAGCCUG
rnacentral:rRNA from 1 species